GGAAGUGUAUCGAAGUGGUCAUAACGAGCCUGACUCGAAAUCAGGUAGCCUUCACGGGCUCGUGGGUUCGAAUCCCACCGCUUCCGCCA
rnacentral:tRNA from 1 species